AUUGAACGCUGGCGGCAUGCCUUACACAUGCAAGUCGAACGGUAACGGGCCUUCGGGUGCCGACGAGUGGCGAACGGGGGAGUAAUACAUCGGAACGUGCCCGAUCGUGGGGGAUAACGAGGCGAAAGCUUUGCUAAUACCGCAUACGAGCUACGGAUGAAAGCAGGGGACCGCAAGGCCUUGCGCGGACGUAGCGGGCGAUGUCAGAUUAGGUAGUUGGUGGGAUAAAAGCUUACCAAGCCGACGAUCUGUAGCUGGUCUGAGAGGAUGAUCAGCCACACUGGGACUGAGACACGGCCCAGACUCCUACGGGAGGCAGCAGUGGGGAAUUUUGGACAAUGGGCGCAAGCCUGAUCCAGCCAUGCCGCGUGCAGGAUGAAGGCCUUCGGGUUGUAAACUGCUUUUGUACGGAACGAAAAGCCUUCUUUUAAUACAGGAGGGUCAUGACGGUACCGUAAGAAUAAGCACCGGCUAACUACGUG
rnacentral:rRNA from 1 species